UGAAUUCUGAAUCUAUAAGCAUAGGUAUUUGAACCAGGAUAUUGACUUGCAGAAGUAAAAACACUCGGUUGAAGAACGGAAACAUAUCACAACUAUGUCAAAACAAAACUAACAAACACAGCCAGUGGUUUGAAUAGUCACUCUGAACUGUCCACGCUAAGCUUAUAGAGCAAAGCUCCAGUGAUGGACAGUUUUUAGAAAAUUGUGAACUUAGAGGCAAGCUUGGUGCAAGAAAGUACUUUCAGGCUGAAACUGCCGCAGCUCAGUCCAGUUUUUGCCCCCAGUCUUUGCACAAUCGGGAAAGGCUCAACUUGAUUUUGAUACCCCAGUAGUCUCCUCGUUAUUCUGUACCUGUUAACCAGUCCUCUCAGAGAGCUACAUCUCUCCAACGUCCUCCAGGAUGCUCUUACCUAUAUCUCAGAUACUGGAUGAUUUUUCAAAAUAUUUGCAGGUUCACAGUAUCUCAUGUAGAGUUUCCUGCUACUGCCUAAGGCAGGAAUUUCCCUCAAACAAGAUGAGAGUCUGUCUGAAUGUCACAGAAGAUCUCUCGUACUUGAUGACUGUUAUCCUAGAUCAUCACCUUCUGGAAAUGGAGCAGAUCAAGAUGUUUCUAAAGAGCAGCAAGAGGCACCUAAAAUCACUCUUAGGUACAGUGAUUAUGCUAGUCUUCGCGCUCCUGUCUCUGCAAUCAGAAGGGUGGAUGAGAUUCAUCCGAGGGUGCUUAGAGAGCCGGCUGAUGGCAUAGCAAAGUUGCCUUGACUGCUUUGCUAAAGCCAACGG
rnacentral:lncRNA from 1 species